UACGUAGGGUGCAAGCGUUGUCCGGAAUUAUUGGGCGUAAAGAGCUUGUAGGCGGUUUGUCGCGUCUGCUGUGAAAUUUCGGGGCUCAACCCCGAACUUGCAGUGGGUACGGGCAGGCUAGAGUGUGGUAGGGGAGACUGGAAUUCCUGGUGUAGCGGUGAAAUGCGCAGAUAUCAGGAGGAACACCAGCGGCGAAGGCGGCGCUCUGGGCCGGAACUGACGCUGAGGAGCGAAAGCGUGGGGAGCGAACAGG
rnacentral:rRNA from 1 species